UACGAAGGGGGCUAGCGUUGUUCGGAAUUACUGGGCGUAAAGCGCACGUAGGCGGAUAUUUAAGUCAGGGGUGAAAUCCCAGAGCUCAACUCUGGAACUGCCUUUGAUACUGGGUAUCUUGAGUAUGGAAGAGGUAAGUGGAAUUCCGAGUGUAGAGGUGAAAUUCGUAGAUAUUGGGAAGAACACCGGUGGCGAAGGCGGCUCUCUGGACCGACACUGACGCUGAGGCGCGAAAGCGUGGGGAGCAAACAGG
rnacentral:rRNA from 1 species